rfam:Porphyromonadaceae COT-184_OH4590 strain COT-184_OH4590 contig_7, whole genome shotgun sequence.
UUUGCAGUCGAUUUUCGUGGUGAUAACUUUUGAGGGUUAAAAAAAGUUAGAGAGGGAAUUGGGUGAAAAUCCCAAACAGUACCCGCUGCUGUAAGUUUUAUAAAAAAUACUGUUGUGCAAGCUACAAGUACCACUGAACCAAUAGGUUUGGGAAGGUCAUAGUACAACAAAAAACGAGUCAGAAAACCUGCCAUAAAAUUAUAAUAGAU